ensembl:lncRNA
AUGGAACUCCACAUGCCAAGACUUAAUUUGGAGAAAAAGAAGAUGAUUGACCGUGAUGUCAUCGCUUUGGAGGAUGAUGCAGCUCUGGGACAGACACAACACAAACAAUCACCAUUUACACACUUUACAUUAAUCAACUAUAAUGAUGCAAGUAUUUGGACUGAUGGAAGAAGCUGCCGGAAGGUCAUGUAUGCAGGAGAACAUGCUAACUCCACACAGGACCCUUUUGGGAUUUGAAGCCCUCUUGCUAUGAGGCACGCCUGCUGACCAGUACGUCAUUGUGCAGCUGAGAGAAGUUUAUUUUGAAAAUAAGACCAUUCUAAGUUGGAAGCAAUUAUUAGAAACAACAUUAAUUUGAGUUUAUUGUUUCAAUCAUGGUCAAUUGGAACAUACGUCCUUCAACACAGGAACAGCACAUAUAUAAAGAAACAAAAAUAAGUCACAAUCUGAGUAUACAUCCUUGUAUCUUACUUUUCAUUAUACAAACUAAACAGUUAAUGCUUGAAAUGGGAAGAGAAGAAGCAAAUUUAUUUAACUCCUUCCCUAUUAUAAUAUGCAUAACUUAAUGAUAAAUUGUUGCUAUGUUAUAAAUUAUAAACUGUAAUGUUUCUAUAAAAAUGUAUGAAUAAAGGUCUUUCUUCUGAAAUGUUUUUGUAUGAAUUUAUUGGAACCAUAACACCUUUUUUACCACAUGUGUGAGUUAAACAGGAGUUGCCAACAUUAUAUACAAGGUCAGAACUAACACAUGUAAUGCAAGUGGCUGAAUAUUUCAAAAGGAAACAAAUACAUCAUAAUGGAAAUUCAGUUGAUUUAAUACUUUUGAUCUUAGGUUACUAUUAUUUUAUUAUUUGAUGCAUCUGUUAUGGAAAUACUGAAAAUUAAAAGUAAAUAAUAAAAUGAGAAAAAAUGUGUUUAGUUAUACAUAUUUCUUUAAAUUUUACAGAAGAAAUAAGAGGCUGGGAUAGGCUCCAGCAGCCCCGUGAUCCCAAAGGGACAAAAUGGGUUCAGAAGAUGAAUCAGAAAUAAAUUCAAAUUAAAAGGAAAAGGUAUGUCAGUUAUCUGCAGGUAUUCUCAGAUAUGUACUAUCGCACAUAUAAAUAAGAAAAAACGACAAAACAGUUAAAUUACUUUGUUAGCAUAGCUCCAUUAAAAACGACAGAUAAAUAAAUAAAUGUGCUUAAAAAUAAUAACAAGAACAAGUUUCCAGUGUCUAAUGUAGAGUCUAGCAUCUGAUGGGAAGAAAUCUCAGCAAAAGGACUUCUUUCUGCAAUGACGUGUUGCAGACUCCACAGGAAGGGAUGUGAAGUGUCAUUUCUGGAUCCUCCAAAGCGAUGACAUCACUGUCAAUCUGCACAAAAGAAAAAUACAUUAGUUAUAAAAGGAAUGAGUUUUAUUUGAUGUCACAGGGAACAUAUAGGAAAAAAACAAGUCCAGUUAGUAUUUUCAGAAGCAUAAAUAAAAAAGUGAUAAAUGGAGCUUCUUUCUUUCUUGCUGUGUGCAAACAUUUGACAUAAAUGUACUUGUUGGCCAUUUAUACGCCCACUAAAACUGGACAAAUGUGGUUAAUCAGGUGAAUCCCAACGGACUAUGAAAAUGUAGCUGAGAGAAAAUAGUAGACUACAGAAGAAGAAUCAAUCGUCCGAUUCUGCAGAACUACGUACAUAAUGACGUAACGAUCAAGCUUCCCGGUGUUUAAAAACCCCCCCGCCCAAUAAAAAAAUAAAUAAAAUAAAAACCCGCCCUGUAGAAAAAAUAAUAAACUGUACCCUGUAAAGUUUGCAGCUGUGCCGAUAGCUUAAUGUGGCUGCUAAUGUGCUAAAUAGUAAACACAUUGCUACGGUUCAACGAAGAAGAAACGGCGGUUGCCGUGGAUACGCAACGCUACUCCGAGGUGUCACGUGACUUUCCCCACCUGAACUUUAUUUAAACUCGCCCAGAUACAUAAUAACAAAAACUAUAAUAUUGUAUUAAAUGUUAUGAAAGGGUAUGAUUCUGUGACGGGGGACUGUCGUUUGCAGAGUGUUUAACAAUGAGAUAAUAAAAAUAGAGAACGUCUCUGUCACGUGAAGAGAAGGCUGAAAACCGAACGUUAAAGUUAUUGUGUUGGAUGUGUAAACUAAAAGAUCAGUGGGUAUGCUGCAUAGUAAACACGACAAUCUGUUAGACAUACGCAGAGAGUAUUUUCUGAAGGGUAUAAAAAACGAAAUAAUAAGGUAGUUGUUGAUAUAAACGGGCACGACAAUGGGUGCUAUCACAAAGCAUUUUUUGCACCAGCUAUGCAAAGCCCUGCAUGACUGAUGCAAAAUGUUAGCAUAGCCUGCUGCCCGUUCAUUUACAAGAUUCAGUUUAAAACGAUUUCUUUUUACUUACCCUCUGUUCUUCCAUUAGC